rnacentral:rRNA from 1 species
UACAGAGGGGGCAAGCGUUAUUCGGAAUUAUUGGGCGUAAAGGGCGUGUAGGCGGUCAGGUAAGUGAGACGUGAAAUGCCCCGGCUCACCCGGGGACCUGCGUCUCAUACUGCUUGGCUUGAGUACGGGAGAGGGUGUGGGAAUUCCUGGUGUAGCGGUGAAAUGCGUAGAUAUCAGGAGGAACACCGGUGGCGAAGGCGCACACCUGGCCCGAUACUGACGCUGAGGCGCGAAAGCUAGGGGAGCAAACGGG